UGAGGAAUAUUGGUCAAUGGGCGCAGGCCUGAACCAGCCAAGUAGCGUGAAGGAUGACUGCCCUAUGGGUUGUAAACUUCUUUUAUAUGGGAAUAAAGUUUUCCACGUGUGGAAUUUUGUAUGUACCAUAUGAAUAAAGAUCGGCUAACUCCGUGCCAGCAGCCGCGGUAAUACGGAGGAUCCGAGCGUUAUCCGGAUUUAUUGGGUUUAAAGGGAGCGUAGGUGGACAGUUAAGUCAGUUGUGAAAGUUUGCGGCUCAACCGUAAAAUUGCAGUUGAUACUGGCUGUCUUGAGUACAGUAGAGGUGGGCGGAAUUCGUGGUGUAGCGGUGAAAUGCUUAGAUAUCACGAAGAACUCCGAUUGCGAAGGCAGCUCACUGGACUGCAACUGACACUGAUGCUCGAAAGUGUGGGUAUCAAACAGGAUUAGAUACCCUGGUAGUCCACACAGUAAACGAUGAAUACUCGCUGUUGGCGAUAUACGGUCAGCGGCCAAGCGAAAGCAUUAAGUAUUCCACCUGGGGAGUACGCCGGCAACGGUGAAACUCAAAGGAAUUGACGGGGGCCCGCACAAGCGGAGGAACAUGUGGUUUAAUUCGAUGAUACGCGAGGAACCUUACCCGGGCUUAAAUUGCAACUGACUGAACCGGAAACGGUUCUUUCUUCGGACAGUUGUGAAGGUGCUGCAUGGUUGUCGUCAGCUCGUGCCGUGAGGUGUCGGCUUAAGUGCCAUAACGAGCGCAACCCUUAUCGAUAGUUACUAGCAGGUCAUGCUGAGGACUCUAUUGAGACUGCCGUCGUAAGAUGUGAGGAAGGUGGGGAUGACGUCAAAUCAGCACGGCCCUUACGUCCGGGGCUACACACGUGUUACAAUGGGGGGUACAGAAGGCAGCUACACGGCGACGUGGUGCUAAUCCCGAAAGCCUCUCUCAGUUCGGAUUGGAGUCUGCAACCCGACUCCAUGAAGCUGGAUUCGCUAGUAAUCGCGCAUCAGCCACGGCGCGGUGAAUACGUUCCC
rnacentral:rRNA from 1 species